rnacentral:sRNA from 1 species
UCAAUUCCUGCCUUAUCGAUUAUAGAUA